AGACUAAGCUGAACUGAUCACUUCAACGGCCUACUUACUUAUUAUAAAGCACUGACCUUCCUUCCAAAAUUGAGGGACAAUUCACAUCAUUUCAAUGACAACACGACUGCUGGUUAGUACAAACUUGGUCAGUGGGAGAACGAGGAUUGGCUUCGUCUCAUCUCGUAGCUAUAUACGAGAAUACAGACGGAGUUUCAAUCACCACCAAACAACAGAAGGACUCGAACCAAGAACCCGCUCAUGCUGAUUUUGCCAUGUCAAAACCUGGUGUUGGUGGAGAUCCCGCUGUUUCCCGAAGUGAUGUGGUUCUUAAACAAACCAUCCUGGAUUCUCACGAAUACAUGGAGAUGAAGCCGAGAGCUCACCUCGGUAUUCCACCCAAUCAUCAAACCAGUCCACCUGGUAACUUUUCUUCUCUGAAUCCAACACAGGCAGCAUGUGAUUCAUCACUACAAGCAUGGCAAGGGGGUUCAACUUUAGAUAUUAUACUAAAUUCCCGUGAUGGGGGAUACAAAUCGUGUUCAGGUCCUACAACAUUUCUUCCCCAGCAAGGAAUUGCUUUGGAAAGUCCUGAUUCGGUGAUCACCACAUAUUUAUGAUUUACUUCCAUAUGAUUGGUCAAGGUAUUAGUAAUAGUUACCAUUAUUUUAUAGAAGUGUCUUUUAGAGAAGAUGUGACCACAUCACAAAAAAGUGAAAUAGUAUUGUUAGGGAACACACAUUAAAGACAUUGAAAUAUGUCUGAUGACGUAAGACAAAUUAAACAUAAUUGGCAAUCUAUUUGUAAUCUACAUUUUAAAACAUAAUCAACGUGGACUUGACAAAAUAAACAUUAUAUAUUUGUUUCUCCUUUUAAAUAUCAAGAUUAAUUUCUGGUCAUGAAAUCCAUUUGUCUUCCAAAAACUGUCACAAGAUGAAAAAAAAUUGAAUAGAAAUAGUUUGAAAGUCGUUUAUGCGUUAAUAAUGUAUAUAAAUUAAUGCAUCCUCCACAACUUUACACUGCAUUCGAGCAUUUCGAGGGACAAAUUACAGUUUUGUGUGGAAUAGUUUUGAAAUACUUCGGAAAAAGAAAUGCUUGGUUUGAUAAAGUUCCUAUGGAAGAAAAAGAUCAAUCCACUAAUCUGUACCAGACGUAACAUACUUUCAUCGGUAAACAGACCGGGCGUGACUAUGGGCCUUUUCACACGAGAAUCUUGAAUCAUUGUAAUGAUGAUUGCAAGUCGUCUUUAGAAUCAUCAAACCUUUCACACGCCCACUCUAAAACUGAUUUGAAUUCAAAUUCCUGAACGGAGGCGGUAUGUUUCCUUGGCGACUUGUCAAUCAAAGCACUGCAUCGCAAAUAUUAACUACGAUGAGUGCAUGAAUUAUCUACGGAAGUGUUUGAAAGGUCAUGUUUUGAAGGUCAAGACUUUCACACGCAAAAUCCGUACCGUAAUUCGAGUGAAACUUAACUGGAAUUCACCUUCGGAGUAGAAUUUGAAUUCGUGAUUGUGAUUAUCGUUCGUGAUUCUAAUCAUAUUCUAGUUUUGGUUUCACAUGUGUUCAAAAUUCGUGAUUAGCCUUAUUUUCCACUGAAGUCAUCAUUCAAAACACGAAAGGGCGGCAUAUUAUUUUGAUCUGUGUUUAAAUCUAGGGUUAGUAAAAUCUACGAUUAAUUAUAUGUAUUGUAAUAUCGACGUAUAUUCAUUUCACAUUUAGGCGUCAGUUAUUGUAAGACUUGCACAUAUUAACCAAACUGGUAUCACUCCACAUUUUAGAGCGUAUAGUACACAGCUAAUAUUAUGAUUGAUGAUGACCAAUUACAUUGCAGUCUUAUAAAUCAAUCAAAAUGUAAUCAAUCGUAUUUCUGUGUAUGAAGUGUUAUUUUAAUUCUGCUUUUGUGUUGGUUGAUGUUGAUGUUAUUUGGAUUUUUUCUUGUUUUUUUAAAUUUCUAUUUAUAGUAGACCGGCCAAGAGUCAAAAAGUGCUCUAGAUAAGGAUUCGACGGCAAAAUUUGUUUAUGCUUGGCAUCCCAGCUAAAAGGCUUGCAAAAAUACCCAGGAAUAGCGUACGGCCGGAUGCCAAGCGCAAUUUUGCGUGAAAGUGUCAUUUUUAGCGUAAAAACUGAAAGAAUGUCGAAAAUCACGCAUUUUGAAAUUUUGAUGGAUUAUUUUAAUAUUUUUGAUUAUCUUUGAUAUGAAAUUAUUUUUAUUCAGAGUUUCAAAUUAUAAGUCUCAUAAAUAUGCAUUUCAAAUUUGAAUAUUGCACACACACAUAUGGCACAGAGAAACAUAAAACCGCGAUUUCCUCAAAAUAAAAGUUUGUGAAAACUAUCAAUAGUUUGAAGUUUUUUUUACGCAGCUUAAAUUCUUCGAUUCAACUGCGUUUAUCCAUCAAAUGUAUAGUAAAUUUCCUAAUGUCACAAAUAUUAAAAGAAUUUUCAAGUAAGAUGGAAGAUAUCUCACUUUAUGUUAUCUGAAAUGAGACAAUGUGCAUUCUACCAGGUGCGCGUUUUGAAAGAAAAAUUGAAAAUACCGUACAUUAUGUACAUAAUUACAUGAAUAAGUACAUACUAAAGCGAGUUUUUAAUUACAUGUAUAAGUGCAUUCUAAAGCGAGUUUUUAAUUGGAUAGCACAAUUUGUCAAUUCUUUGCAUCCCAGCUAAAAGUCUUGCGGAAAUCCUGAGGAAUAACGUACGGGCGGAUGCCAAGUGCACUUUUGCGUGAAAGUAUCAUUUUUUGCGUAAAAUUUGAAAGACUGUUGAAAAUCACGCAUUUUGAUAUUUUGACGGAUUAUCAUCAUAUUUUUGGUUAUCUUUGAUAUGGAAUUAUUUUUAUUCAGAGUUUUAAAUUAUAAGUCUACUAAAUAUGCAUUUCAAUUUGGAAUAUUACACACACAUAUAUGGCAAUAUGAAAUAUAAAAUCGUGAUUUACUAAAAAUAGUAGUUUGUGAAAACUAUCAAUAGUAUAAUGUUUGUGUUCUGCAUCUCAAUUUCGUCAAUUUUAACGCUAACCGAAUAAAUACAUAAUAAUUGUUGUCAUGGCACAUAUAGUGAAAACAAAUGUUGAAAGAAGAUGCAAGAUAUAUCAUUUUAUGUUAUAUAUGCGAAAGAUAACAAUGUACAAUUAUCGGAUGCGCAUUUCUGAUAAAAUACAAACAGCGCACAAUAUUACAUCUAUAUUGCACAUACUAAUAUUAAUCAGUGCGAUACUCGUCAUGAUAUUAUAUCGGAUUAUGUUUACUUUUGUAGAGUACGAUCUUCUUGCUAUUUCCGCGAAUUAAUUGGUGCUGAACGUAAAUCUACCUGUGGCGAUAUUCAUAAAUAGGUCUGAUAUUUAAUUUGCCGUUACCAUGGUAACAUUUAUUUUGUAGGAAUAUCUAUAUCCAAAAUCAUAGAAACAGUAGCGUACCUAGGAUUUUCCACAAGGGGGGGGGGUCAAAACCGUCGGCCAAAAAAUUAAAUUUGACAAGCAAAAAAAAAAGGUCUUCAAGCUCGUCAGGGGGGGGGGGGCAAAAAGGGUCUUCAAGCUCGUCGGGGGGGGGGCAUGGAUACGUCUUUUGCAUGGGUUGGGACUCGUCAGGGGGAGCAGACUGCCCCCUCUGCCCCCCCCCCCCCCCGUAGGUACACUAGUGCAUAGAAAAUAUACAUGUAUGAAUAAAACGAUCGAAUUAGCAUUUUUAAACUACUCUGUCAAUCUACAUUUUACUUCAAUUAUUGGAUUAUCAAAGUCUUAAAAAUUAUGGCCGUUGCCACGGCAAUACCUAUUUUUUGUCUCGCCUGCAUGCAUAGCAGAGCAGGACUAAAGGAGCCACUUUUCCGGCGGAGGCGACGGUAGUUUUGAUAUAACAGCGUCAUAUCAACCUUGAAAUCUUAACCAAGGUUACGUUUUCGAAAUUUCGUUAUAACUUUGAACGUAUAUAGGAAAAAAAAAUAAUGACACUUAUAACAGUAUUCAGGUAUUCCUGAUCGUCUUGCACAAGUUUUAGAUCACAUGAUUAAGGUCAAAGGUCAUUUAGAGUCACUGAACUUUGGCCAUAUAUAUGGGGGUAUUUUUUUUAAAUGUCAUCAUAACUUUUGAAUUUUAUUGAUCCAGUUCAUGAUUAAACUUGAAUAUAAGGGUAUUAAAGUAUGAUGGAUCAUUUUGCACAAAUUUCAGUUCACAUGAUCAAGGUUAUACGUCAUUUAGGUUCGAUGAGCUUAUUAUUUUAUUAUCACAUGAAUGGCGCUUUUGUGAAUAAUUAUUAGUUUCAGUUGUUUCCAAUGUUCUGCUGCUAUAAUUAUUAUGUGAAAAUAUGAAUAAUAAAUGUUAUUUGGUCUUUUGCAUUGCAAGUU